rnacentral:lncRNA from 1 species
AUUACAGGCGUGAGCUACCGCGCCCAGCCAGAAGGUAUUAUUAAGACAAUUUCAACAGUAAUUUGCGGAGAAAUAAAAUCAGUAAAGGAAGAAAGAUUGAAAUACAACAGAAACAAGAAAUAAUAAAUGCAGGAAAAUUCUAGAGAAACUAAGAUAGGCUAGAGUCAGAAAUGUAAAUAGAACUUAGUUUUGAUGGAGAACAAAACAGUUGUAAGAGGACAGAAGAUGAUUUGUAAUGUAGAGAAAUUAAGAUUAAAAAUGAUAGCAGUUGGGAAAGUGUGUUAUUGGCUUACAUCACAUUGACUAAGAGUUCUCAGCACUACCUUACAUGUAGGGAAUCUUUAAGAAAACAGUCUACGUAGAACAUAGAACAUAGUCUAUGUUCUACAUAGACUGUUUUCGUCCUUUACCAUGACUCCACUAGCUUUGUCAGAAUCCUUUCUUUAACCAGGGUUCUAGUUAUGUUACCCAUCUUGACAAAGGACCAUCAUUGCCUCUCUUCAAACUUCAUAGCAGCCCUCAUCAUUAAUCUGGACACAGGUCAAACCUGUCCAGGGACCCUCAGCCAGUUCUGGUAAAAGAAGAACAAUGCAGCAAGAGAAUUGAGGAUAUUUUUGAGAAUGGAUUCAACUUCUGGAUAUCACAAACCAAAUUGUGGCACAGAAAGACAAUUCAUAAAUGUCUUCUUCAAAAUGGGCCAAUUAGGCCGAAGUUGAGAAUUUGGGGAAAAGUACAAAAUUGAGAUGAUCAAGAACUAAUUCUAGCUACAUUGCUGAAUGGAAAAACUAAGUAACAUGAAGCAGAUAACCUAUCUGUUGAUAACUGAGACUAAGAAAAUACAAACUAUUGAAAAAGUGAUGUGAUAUGACUUUAACUUAGCAUGAAAUGAAGAGACACCAGAGUAUAUACAAUAAGGAUUAUCUACUAUGACAAAGGAGUAGAUUACAGCCACCUCUGACAAGGCAACCACAAACAAAUCAGUUCAACCUAAGCACUUCAAGGACAGAUUCCUCUACUCUGGAGGUGGGAAAGUGAGUUUUCAAGACCUAUGCCAUCUAAAUACCUAAUUAUGGACUCUGCUGAGGAAGGUGAGUAGUCAACUGGAGUUAAUUUAAAGAUAAUACUGUUAUUCUAUAUUUGUAGAUAAAUAGAGAGUUAACUGUAAUUCCUGAUGAACUAAAUUUUUAGAAUCACCAAAGAGAUUCUCCUAAUUUACAAAAGGGACACUGUAUUUUUUAUGUCCUACUACAAUUAGUUAAUACGUUUUAUUUCAUGUUAUUUUAUGUGGGUGAUAUUUCUAUAUUUCAUUAACAACCAUAUAUGUAUAUACAUAAAAACAGAAAUAAAAGUGAACUAUAUCAUAUCAAUACACAGGCACAAGCAAUUCCACAAACAGACUCAAUUGUAAGAAAA